rnacentral:piRNA from 1 species
UGUUGUUAUAAAUCCCUGCCUGGUGCUCC